UACGAAGGUCCCAAGCGUUUAUCCGGAUUUAUUGGGUUUAAAGGGUGCGUAGGCGGGCUAUUAAGUCAGUGGUGAAAGCCCCAGCUUAACUUGGGAACUGCCAUUGAUACUGAUGGUCUUGAGUACAUUUGAGGUGGGCGGAAUGUGUCAUGUAGCGGUGAAAUGCUUAGAUAUGACACAGAACACCGAUUGCGAAGGCAGCUCACUAAACUGUAACUGACGCUGAUGCACGAAAGCGUAGGGGAG
rnacentral:rRNA from 1 species